AUCUUAUCACAAGUACUCAUUGCCAUCAUUGUCCCAAUUGGAGUCUCUGUUUUGCUUUUUGUUGUAUGCUUGUCCUUCCAAAGUAGGAAAACAAAGAAGAAAUAUGGUUCCAUUGCAGAGGAUAAUGUUGGGAAUGAAAUUACAACGGAACAAUCCUUGCAAUAUGAUUUGUGUACAAUUCAAUCUGCCACAAACAACUUUUCUGACCAAAACAAAAUUGGUCAAGGUGGAUUUGGACAUGUCUACAAGGGUAUACUUCCUAACAGAUAAGAGAUAGCAGUGAAGAGGUUAUCUCAAAACUCGGGGCAAGGUGCAGUACAGUUCAAGAAUGAAGUUGUAUUAGUGGCCAAGCUUCAACAUAGAAAUCUAGUGAGGCUACUGGGAUUUUGUUUGGAAGGAGAAGAAAAGAUACUCAUUUAUGAAUUUGUGCCCAACAAAAGCUUGGACUACUUACUAUUCGGUUUGGCACAUUCGAACAACUCUAGUUCUUUAUAAUAUAUUUUUUACUAUUUUAUUUUGUUUCACAGUAAAACACGAUUUCAAUGAAUAUACAUUAUUUAUAGUC